rnacentral:rRNA from 1 species
UACGUAGGGCGCAAGCGUUAUCCGGAAUUAUUGGGCGUAAAGAGCUCGUAGGCGGUUUGUCGCGUCUGCCGUGAAAGUCCGGGGCUCAACUCCGGAUCUGCGGUGGGUACGGGCAGACUAGAGUGAUGUAGGGGGAGACUGGAAUUCCUGGUGUAGCGGUGAAAUGCGCAGAUAUCGGGAGGAACACCAAUGGCGAAGGCAGCUCGCUGGGACGUAGACUGACGCUGGAGACGCGAAAGCGUGGGAGCAACAGGAUUAAGAAA